rnacentral:rRNA from 1 species
AUUGAACGCUGGCGGCAGGCCUAACACAUGCAAGUCGAACGAGUGGCGGACGGGUGAGUAACGUCUGGGCAACUGCCUGAUGGAGGGGGAUAACUACUGGAAACGGUAGGUAAAACCGCAUACCAUCGGAUGUGGCCAGAUGGGAUUAGCUAGUAGGUGGGGUAAAGGCUCACCUAGGGGACGAUCCCUAGCUGGUCUGAGGGGUGGACCGCCACACCGGGAACGAGAAAACGGUCCAACCUCCUACGGGGGGAAGCGGUGGGGAAUUUCCGAAAAUGGGCGCAGGCCGAAGGCGGCAAUGCCGGGUAGAUGAGGAAGGCCUUCGGGUUGUAAGGUACGUUCAGCGGGGAGGCGUUACCCGCAGAAAAAGCCACGGCUAACUCCGUGCCAGCAGCCGCGGUAAUAC